AUGAGCACUGUGUCGAUCAGCAAGUCCCCGUCGGUGUUAGUCGCACCAUCGGAGGCGACGGUCAACGGCGGCGACAUCAUUCUCUCGUCUUAUGACAAGAUGUUUGGUGGUAGAUCAGUUACGGUGUUCUUCAUCUUCGAGUAUCCAAUCCAAGAUCCCAUCGAGACGAUCAAAAGGGGAUUGUCCCAAGCACUUGUCCACUACUACCCUAUCGCUGGCCGCCUUGCUGCCGGGGCCGCAGCCGGCGAGUUCGUCAUCAGAUGCACCGGAGAGGGGGUGUCCUUCGUUGCGGCGUCUGCCAACUGCGCCAUCAAGGACGUCCGAGAGUUUUGUGACUCGUCGCUGCAAGAGGAGCUCGCCGUCUUGUACGCGGACGAGGGUUUCAGCUACUCUGAGCCAUUGAUGCUGAUGCAGGUGACCGUCUUCUCUUGCGGCGGGUUCGUCAUUGGGGUGACGUUGAACCAUUCCGUUUGUGAUGGCAUCGGGAUGGCGCAGUUCAUGCAGGCGAUGGGAGAGCUCGCCCGCGGGCUACCGUCGCCGUCCGUCAUCCCGGUGAGGUCCAAGGAUUCGUUCGUGUUGGACCUGCCUCCAUUUUCCACAAACUUUGUUCGCUUUCUGGGCACCCUCCAGCCCUCUCCAAUGGAGUUCCUGGACAUUACUGUGCCAUCAAGCUUAAUCAACCGCAUCAAACGCACGUAUACCAUGAAUUACGGGCAGCCAUGCUCCGUGUUCGAGGCAGUUGCCGCAGUUCUAUGGCGGUGCCGAACCCGUGCAAUCAUGUCCGAUCCGGCGGCCCUCGCCGUGCUUACAUUCCCAGCAAACGCACGAAAGCAUGCGGUUGCCAGGGAGGGCUUCUACGGCAACUGCGUCACCGCACAGCUGGUCAUGGCGACGAGCGGCGCGAUGGCGGACGGCGACAUCAUGGAGCUAGUGAAGAUGAUCCAGCAUGCCAAGGAUCGGGUGCCCGGCCAGACAGAGAUCGACGAGAUGCGGCAGUUGGAUGGGUACAAUCUUUUCCUCAUGUCGUGUUGGCGAAACCUCGGCAUGGAGGAGAUUGACUUAGGCUUUGGACCGCCGGCGAGAUUGAUGGAGUACACGCAGGUAAGGACGAAGCUGCCGAGCUGCGCGACGUGCGUCCCUUGCAAGGACGAGUACAACGUGCAGUCCUUGUGCGUGAAGGAGGAGCACGCCGACGCGUUCCUCCAAGAAUUAGCUAAAAUCGACCUCACUUAUAAUCCGCUUUCCGUUUCAUCCAAGCUUUGA
rnacentral:rRNA from 1 species